rnacentral:tRNA from 1 species
CGGGCCAUUUCUGUUUAGUUGAGGUUUCAUUUACGCUGAAUUUUUUGCCGUGCGAUUCGGCAUGGUCUGA